CCUACGGGAGGCAGCAGUGGGGAAUAUUGCACAAUGGGCGCAAGCCUGAUGCAGCGACGCCGCGUGAGGGAUGACGGCCUUCGGGUUGUAAACCUCUUUCAGUAGGGAAGAAGCGAAAGUGACGGUACCUGCAGAAGAAGCGCCGGCUAACUACGAGCCAGCAGCCGCGGUAAUACGUAGGGCGCAAGCGUUAUCCGGAAUUAUUGGGCGUAAAGAGCUCGUAGGCGGUUUGUCGCGUCUGCCGUGAAAGUCCGGGGCUCAACUCCGGAUCUGCGGUGGGUACGGGCAGGCUAGAGUGAUGUAGGGGAGACUGGAAUUCCUGGCGUAGCGGUGAAAUGCGCAGAUAUCAGGAGGAACACCGAUGGCGAAGGCAGGUCUCUGGGCAUUAACUGACGCUGAGGAGCGAAAGCAUGGGGAGCGAACAGGAUUAGAUACCCUGGUAGUCCAUGCCGUAAGCGUUGGGCACUAGGUGUGGGGGACAUUCCACGUUUUCCGCGCCGUAGCUAACGCAUUAAGUGCCCCGCCUGGGGAGUACGGCCGCAAGGCUAAAACUCAAAGGAAUUGACGGGGGCCCGCACAAGCGGCGGAGCAUGCGGAUUAAUUCGAUGCAACGCGAAGAACCUUACCAAGGCUUGACAUGGACCGGACCGCCGCAGAGAUGUGGUUUCUCCUUUUGGGGCCGGUUCACAGGUGGUGCAUGGUUGUCGUCAGCUCGUGUCGUGAGAUGUUGGGUUAAGUCCCGCAACGGGCGCAACCCUCGUUCCAUGUUGCCAGCGCGUAAUGGCGGGGACUCAUGGGAGACUGCCGGGGUCAACUCGGAGGAAGGUGGGGACGACGUCAAAUCAUCAUGCCCCUUAUGUCUUGGGCUUCACGCAUGCUACAAUGGCCGGUACAAAGGGUUGCGAUACUGUGAGUGCAGCUAAUCCCAAAAGCCGGUCCUCAGUUCCGGAUUGGGGUCUGCACUCGACUCCAUGAGUCGGAGUCGCUAGUAUCGCAGAUCAGCACGCCGCGGUGAAUACGUUCCCGGG
rnacentral:rRNA from 1 species